UACGUAGGGGGCGAGCGUUGUCCGGAAUCAUUGGGCGUAAAGAGCUCGUAGGCGGUUCAGUAAGUCAGGUGUGAAAGCUCCGAGCUCAACUCGGAGAGGCCACCUGAUACUGCUGUGACUAGAAUCCAGUAGGGGAGUGUGGAACUCCUGGUGUAGCGGUGAAAUGCGCAGAUAUCAGGAAGAACACCAGCGGCGAAGGCGGCACUCUGGGCUGGAAUUGACGCUGAGGAGCGAAAGUGUGGGUAGCAAACAGG
rnacentral:rRNA from 2 species